GUUGACCUCAUUGUGAAAGGUGGAAACUAUGGCUGGAGAGCAAAGGAAGGGUUUGCAUGUUAUGACAAAAAACUUUGUCACAAUGCCUCUUUGGGGGGAAAACUUAGCCAUGUGGAUUUCCAGUCACUGCCUCAUAGAUGGAGGGAAUUUUUGGCUUCCUCUCUGCCUACAGAUAGCAGUUAAGUAGGAAGCUUGCAAAUAUUGUGGAUGGCCUAUUGAGAACAAUAAACAUGAUUCACUUGCUUGCCUGUCCUACUGAAGACCAAGAGAUGAUGUUCUGCCAAUCUAUGCUUAUGGCCGUGCAGUGGGGAAGUC
rnacentral:sRNA from 1 species